UACGCUUGAAAGCGUGAGUGAUUUGGUUCUGUAAAGAUGGCCAGCGGGUUAGCCAUGGCCUCUUUAAAGGCUGCUGGACCUUGAGCCUCUACAAAUACUCAACACUAAGUGAGCUUGGGGUCCGAAAGUGAUGCUGGCUAGUAUUCUACGCAAGAUGAAAGGAUGAUUCUGGAAGUGUUCCCUUGCCCCGACACACACACACACCCCAUUCCACAACCAACCUCAAAACUGGUGUGAAGUCAGACACACAAAGGGGAGCCCAUCUGGGGGGAGAUAUGGGACAUUUAACACCCCCGCAUUUCCCUGCUUGCAUAAUGCUGUAGAAUAUCUGUAAUUUUUUAAUCUUUAAAUUGGGCCGGCUGCCAAGCCUCUUCUAGGCAUCGCCGCUGUUUUCCUCUAGCUCUCAACAAUAUAAAUCGUUGCCUGCAUUCUGGAUUUUAAAAAACCCGCCACCAGGCACCCGUUGCAGCUGCUCUGCCGUGAAAGACACCCUGUUCUAGGGCCUGGGUGAGGAUGUAGAGAUCCUGAUCAGAAGAAAUGUGGCAGCGGGAAAAACACGGAGCGGGCCUGACCAGGUGAGCCCCCUGUGAAGGUUAGGCAUGCUUCUGAUCAUCAGCCCACUGGUGUGUCCCCCUCCAUUCCAGUGGGCUGAAGGUGGCCUAGAAAAGCAAACUCAGCCAUGCGAUGCUAUUCAAGGAGACGGCCCUGAUGAGCUAGGACAGAAAACCCUACACAUCCCCUGCCUAUGGUCCAACUUUUAUUUUCCUGGCUAAGCCACCUGGCCUCUGGGUCUAGGAUCAGAGGGGAUCAACCUUAAAAGACAGCGCAGGGAGGCAGGGCGUGGACUUUGAGGUGGUUCCCACAGGCCACUUGGCCUCUGGAAUACGGCCAAGAAACACAGCAGCCACAGGAAGAGAAAAGGCGUCAUCCUGUCAGGGAAACUGGCUCACAGAAAAAGCCCUGAGUGUAAUAAUUUUUAGACUAAGAACACUUUGAAAGGAACAGCCAGGCCUAGUUUUUCCUCAGCCUUGUUAAUGAAUUUCUCCCAUGGUGUUAUUUGCUGAUUAAAGAAUCAGACUGGCAGAAGGGAAAAUCCUUUUUUUCCUUUGGUUUUAAGAAAUGUCAAUUGUAAGGUCUUGAGACGCUGUCAUUAAAAGUAGCCUUGUUCAUAUUU